rnacentral:rRNA from 1 species
GAGUUUGAUCGUGGCUCAGAUUGAACGCUGGCGGCAUGCCUUACACAUGCAAGUCGAACGGCAGCAUGAUCUAGCUUGCUAGAUUGAUGGCGAGUGGCGAACGGGUGAGUAAUACAUCGGAACGUGCCCUGUAGUGGGGGAUAACUAGUCGAAAGAUUAGCUAAUACCGCAUACGACCUGAGGGUGAAAGUGGGGGACCGCAAGGCCUCAUGCUAUAGGAGCGGCCGAUGUCUGAUUAGCUAGUUGGUGGGUAAAGGGCCCACCAAGGCGACGAUCAGUAGCUGGUCUGAGAGGACGAUCAGCCACACUGGGACUGAGACACGGCCCAGACUCCUACGGGAGGCAGCAGUGGGGAAUUUUGGACAAUGGGCGAAAGCCUGAUCCAGCAAUGCCGCGUGUGUG